rnacentral:rRNA from 1 species
AGAGUUUGAUCCUGGCUCAGGAUGAACGCUGGCGGCGUGCUUAACACAUUCAAGUCGAACGGAGAACGGGGAGCUUGCUCCCCGGGAUCAGUGGCGGACGGGUGAGUAACGCGUGAGCAACCUGCCUGUGUGUGGGGGAUAACACCCGGAAACGGGUGCUAAUACCGCAUAACGCAACGGAGCCGCAUGACUUUGUUGCCAAAGAUAUAUUGCGCACAGAUGGGCUCGCGUCUGAUUAGAUAGUUGGUGGGGUAACGGCUCACCAAGUCGACGAUCAGUAGCCGGACUGAGAGGUUGAACGGCCACAUUGGAACUGAGAUACGGUCCAGACUCCUACGGGAGGCAGCAGUGGGGAAUAUUGGGCAAUGGGGGAAACCCUGACCCAGCAACGCCGCGUGAAGGAAGAAGGCCUUCGGGUUGUAAACUUCUUUUACCAGGGGCGAAACAAAUGACGGUACCUGGAGAAAAAGCAACGGCUAACUACGUGCCAGCAGCCGCGGUAAUACGUAGGUUGCGAGCGUUGUCCGGAUUUACUGGGUGUAAAGGGCGUGUAGGCGGAGAUGCAAGUUGGGAGUGGAAUCCAUGGGCUCAACCCAUGAACUGCUUCCAAAACUGUAUCCCUUGAGUAUCGGAGAGGCAAGCGGAAUUCCUAGUGUAGCGGUGAAAUGCGUAGAUAUUGGGAGGAACACCAGUGGCGAAGGCGGCCUGCUGGACAUUAACUGACGCUGAGGAGCGAAAGCGUGGGGAGCAAACAGGAUUAGAUACCCUGGUAGUCCACGCCGUAAACGAUGGAUACUAGGUGUGGGAGGUAUUGACCCCUUCCGUGCCGCAGUUAACACAUUAAGUAUCCCACCUGGGGAGUACGACCGCAAGGUUGAAACUCAAAGGAAUUGACGGGGGCCCGCACAAGCAGUGGAGUAUGUGGUUUAAUUCGACGCAACGCGAAGAACCUUACCAAGUCUUGACAUCCCUUGACGAUGCUGGAAACAGUAUUUCUCUUCGGAGCAAGGAGACAGGUGGUGCAUGGUUGUCGUCAGCUCGUGUCGUGAGAUGUUGGGUUAAGUCCCGCAACGAGCGCAACCCUUAUGGUCAGUUACUACGCAAGAGGACUCUGGCCAGACUGCCGUUGACAAAACGGAGGAAGGUGGGGAUGACGUCAAAUCAUCAUGCCCUUUAUGACUUGGGCUACACACGUACUACAAUGGCGUUAAACAAAGAGAAGCAAGACCGCGAGGUGGAGCAAAACUCAGAAACAACGUCCCAGUUCGGACUGCAGGCUGCAACUCGCCUGCACGAAGUCGGAAUUGCUAGUAAUCGUGGAUCAGCAUGCCACGGUGAAUACGUUCCUCGGGCCUUGUACUCACCGCCCGUCA